UACGUAGGGGGCAAGCGUUGUCCGGAUUUAUUGGGCGUAAAGAGCGUGUAGGCGGCCUGGUAGGUCAGCUGUGAAAACUCGAGGCUCAACCUCGAGACGCCGGUUGAAACCAUCGGGCUAGAGUCCGGAAGAGGAGAGUGGAAUUCCCGGUGUAGCGGUGAAAUGCGCAGAUAUCGGGAAGAACACCCGUGGCUAAGGCGGCUCUCUAGUACGGUACUGACGCUGAGACGCGAAAGCGUGGGGAGCGAACAGG
rnacentral:rRNA from 1 species